rnacentral:rRNA from 1 species
GAUGAACGCUGGCGGCGUGCUUAACACAUGCAAGUCGAACGGAAAGGCGCUGCUUUUGUGGGGUGCUCGUGUGGCGAACGGGGGUGUAACACGCGAGUAACCUCCCCUUGAAUUUGGGAUAAAUUCUGGGAACUGCGGCUCAUACCGGAGAUGAGCUCCUGCACCAUGGUGGGGGAUGGAAAGUUUCGGCGGUGGUGGCUGGAUUCGCUGCUUAUCCGCUUGUUUGUGGGGUAGUGGCUUACCAAGGCUUCGACGGGUAGCCGGCCUGGGAGGGUGACCGGCCACAUUGGGCCUGAGAUACGGCCCAGACGCCUACGGGAGGCAGCAGUGGGGAACAUGGCACAAUGGGCGGAAGCGUGAUGCAGCAGCGCCGCGUGCGUGAUGACGGCCUUCGGGUUGUAAACCGCUUUCGCCUGUAACGAAGCGUGAGUGACGGUAAUGGGUAAAGAAGCAACGGCUAACUACGUG